rnacentral:rRNA from 1 species
UACGUAGGGGGCAAGCGUUGUCCGGAUUUAUUGGGCGUAAAGAGCGUGUAGGCGGCCACACAGGUCUGCUGUGAAAACUCGAGGCUCAACCUCGAGCUGUCGGUGGAAACCGUGUGGCUAGAGUCCGGAAGAGGAGAGUGGAAUUCCCGGUGUAGCGGUGAAAUGCGCAGAUAUCGGGAGGAACACCAGUGGCGAAGGCGGCACUCUGGGCCGGAACUGAUGCUGAGGAGCGAAAGCGUGGGGAGCGAACAGGA